rnacentral:rRNA from 1 species
UACGAAGGGGGCUAGCGUUGUUCGGAAUUACUGGGCGUAAAGGGCGCGUAGGCGGUGUGUCAAGUCAGGCGUGAAAGCCCCGGGCUCAACCUGGGAACCGCGCUUGAGACUGGCACGCUAGAGUUCGGGAGAGGAUGGUGGAAUUCCCAGUGUAGAGGUGAAAUUCGUAGAUAUUGGGAAGAACACCAAUGGCGAAAGCAGCUUUCUGGGACGGUACUGACGCUGAGACGCGAAAGCGUGGGGAGCGAACAGG